UGAAUACGAGACGCUAAGGCGUCGAAGUAGUGUAUGUCAUGCUUCCAAGAAAAGCUUGCACUGUCAUAGAUAAAAAACGCCUGUACCAUAACCGACACAGGUGGGUAGGUAGAGUAUACUAAGGGGCGCGAGAUAACUCUCUCUAAGGAACUCGGCAAAAUAACUCCGUAACUUCGGGAGAAGGAGUGCCUUAUUCUUAAGGUUGCAAUAACAAGAUCCAAGCAACUGUUUAUCAAAAACACAGGUCUCCGCUAAGUCGUAAGACGAUGUAUGGGGGCUGACGCCUGCCCAGUGCCAGAAGGUUAAAGAAGUUGGUUAGCAUUUGCGAAGCUGAUAACUGAAGCCCUGGUGAACGGCGGCCGUAACUAUAACGGUCCUAAGGUAGCGAAAUUCCUUGUCGGGUAAGUUCCGACCCGCACGAAAGGCGUAAUGAUUUGGAUACUGUCUCGGAGAGGGGCUCGGUGAAAUAGACUUGUCUGUGAAGAUGCGGACUACCUGCACCAGGACAGAAAGACCCUAUGAAGCUUUACUGUAACUUGAAAUUGAAAUUGGACUUUAUUCGCGCAGCAUAGGUGGGAGGCGUUGAUUAUAAUCUCGUGGGAUUAUUGGAGCCAUCAGUGAGAUACCACUCUUGUAAUGUUAGAUUUCUAACUUUGAAUCAUUAUCUGGUCAAAGAACAGUUUCAGGCGGGCAGUUUGACUGGGGCGGUCGCCUCCUAAACGGUAACGGAGGCGUACAAAGGUUUCCUCUGAACGGUUAGAAAUCGUAUCUAGAGUGUAAAGGCAUAAGGAAGCUUGACUGUGAGACCUACAAGUCGAGCAGGGACGAAAGUCGGUCUUAGUGAUCUGACGGUACUGAGUGGAAAGGCCGUCACUCAACGGAUAAAAGUUACUCUAGGAUAACAGGCUGAUCUCCCCCAAGAGUUCACAUCGACGGGGAGGUUUGGCACCUCGAUGUCGGCUCAUCGCAUCCUGGGGCGGUAGUACGUCCCAAGGGUUGGGCUGUUCGCCCAUGAAAGCGGUACGCGAGCUGGGUUCAGAACGUCGUGAGACAGUUCGGUCCAUAUCCGGUGUAGGCGUUAGAAUAUUGAGAGGAGCCUUCUUUAGUACGAGAUGACCGAGAAGGACAUACCUCUGGUGUACCAGUUAUCGUGCCAACGGUAAACGCUGGGUAGCUAUGUAUGGAGUGGAUAACCGCUGAAAGCAUCUAAGUGGGAAGCCCACCUCAAGAUAAG
rnacentral:rRNA from 1 species